GACGAACGCUGGCGGCGUGCUUAACACAUGCAAGUCGAGCGGUAAGGCCCUUUCGGGGGUACACGAGCGGCGAACGGGUGAGUAACACGUGGGUGACCUGCCCUCAGCUCUGGGAUCAGCCUGGGAAACCGGGUCUAAUACUGGAUAUGACUCCAUGACGCAUGUUGUGGGGUGGAAAGCCUUGUGCGGCUGAGGAUGGGCCCGCGGCCUAUCAGCUUGUUGGUGGGGGAUGGCCUACCAAGGCGACGACGGGUAGCCGGCCUGAGAGGGCGACCGGCCACACUGGGACUGAGACACGGCCCAGACUCCUACGGGAGGCAGCAGUGGGGAAUCUUGCGCAAUGGGCGAAAGCCUGACGCAGCGACGCCGCGUGAGGGAUGACGGCCUGGUGUAACU
rnacentral:rRNA from 1 species